AAGAAAAGGGUCUAGACCCCACACACGCCACUCGGUAAGGAAUUGGGCCUAUAGCUCAGCUGGCUAGAGCACACGACUGAUAAUCGUGAGGUCAGUGGUUCGAGUCCACUUGGGCCCACCAAAUGGGGCUGUAGCUCAGUUGGGAGAGCACCUGCUUUGCAAGCAGGGGGUCACCGGUUCGAGACCGGUCAGCUCCACCACAGGGAUAGAAGGCCCGCAAAGAGCGCGGGCUGGUCGCUGGGGAAGCAGUAGAGAAGGGGUUUAGGGUUUAGUGUGUAGUGCUGAAUAACGCUUUAGGGAUGUAGGAAGUAAGGUGCUAUUGAUCACUGCCCACUCGGAAGAUUGAGUGCGUUAGUUUGUUCUUUGACAGUUGAGGAAGGGAAGGCCAUGUUUGUCAUCUUGCCGAUGGCAGACCUCCAGGUGGAUGCUUGGGGAUAUAU
rnacentral:tRNA from 1 species